rnacentral:rRNA from 1 species
UACGGAGGGUGCGAGCGUUGUCCGGAAUCACUGGGCGUAAAGGGCGCGUAGGCGGCCUGAUAAGUAGGGGGUGAAAUCCUGCGGCUUAACCGCAGGGCUGCCUUCUAAACUGUCAGGCUGGAGCACAGUAGAGGCAGGUGGAAUUCCCGGUGUAGCGGUGGAAUGCGUAGAGAUCGGGAAGAACAUCAGUGGCGAAGGCGGCCUGCUGGGCUGUUGCUGACGCUGAGGCGCGACAGCGCGGGGAGCAAAUAGG